UGCACGCAUGACUGUAAGUCACCUUGGAUAAAAGUGUCUGCUAAAUGGCAUAUA
rfam:Salmo salar isolate Sally breed double haploid chromosome ssa05, whole genome shotgun sequence.